UGGGGGAUAUUGCACAAUGGGCGAAAGCCUGAUGCAGCGACGCCGCGUGGGGGAUGAAGGCCUUCGGGUUGUAAACUUCUUUUGCUCUGAACAAGGCAUGCUAAUGGGUGUGUUGAGUGUAGGGGUUGAUUAGCGCCGGCUAACUACGUGCCAGCAGCCGCGGUAAUACGUAGGGCGCGAGCGUUGUCCGGAAUUAUUGGGCGUUAAGGGCUUGUAGGUGGCUGGUUGCGUCUGUCGUGAAAGCUCAUGGCUUAACUGUGGGUUUGCGGUGGGUACGGGCUGGCUUGAGUGCAGUAGGGGAGGCUGGAAUUCCUGGUGUAGCGGUGGAAAGGGCAGAUAUCAGGAGGAAUACCGGUGGCGAAGGCGGGUCUCUGGGCUGUUACUGACACUGAGGAGCGAAAGCAUGGGGAGCGAACAGG
rnacentral:rRNA from 1 species